AAAUGAAAUAGAAUAAAAUAUUUAAAAAAUAAAAAAUAAAGUAAAAAAAUAAAAUAAUAUAAAAAUAAAUUUUUCUCUUUCUGUAUCCAAGAAUGAGGAAGAAAAGAAAAAAAAAAAACAAUUUAAGCAAAAACAAAAGCAAAGAAAAUGAACAAAUAAAUGAACCAGCAAACAGAAUGAAACCCAAAUGAAGUAACAUCUAGUUUCCCCUAAAACUGAAACUAUGAAGGCUCUUAUAGUCAGUACUCUAAGAAGGUGGAGUGACUUGUGCUGGUCUUCUCCAGAAUGUGCCUGGAGGGAGCAGUUGGGCGGGCCUUAGUGUAACGGUUCCAUUCUCCACUAGGUGGCACUUCUUAGCUUAUGGGGGUGGAUCAGUGUGGCAUGCAGGAGAGGUGGUAAUGGCUUCACCCAGCUCCCUAGUCUCUGGCACGGGAACUUCGCGCACUCACUGACCUGUGAUCAAGCGACCCUCCUUUGUCUCAGGACUCCAUCUACUACCUGCCUCUACCCUGUCUGUAUCCAAGCUGUUCUCCUGCCAGGCGGCACCUCCCUCCAGACUUUUAUCUCAGAUGAGGUUUUGUUUCAAAACCCCAUGCUUCAGAGACCCCUGCAGCUUGGACCUGUGAGGGCUCUUUGGGGGAGUGUCUCGCAGAGCAAUGGCAGGUGCUAGCUUUCCCCAGAAAAUGUUCGUACAGUCGCACAGUGGCAAAGGUUCAGAGAUUAUGGCAAAUUAUAACACAUAGCUGGUGCCAGGUUUCACUGCACUCUGGAGUCUUUGCCCCAAUACCAACAAAUGUGGCUGAUCUCCAGGGUACGCUGGGACCUUUGCCUGUGGGGAGGCCUUAUGGCCUCUACCAAAUGCACUCCAAGCAGGGGAACUGCUUCUCCCCAUGUGGCACAUGGACCCCUCAGACCAUGCUGUCUGCUCCUGGGGAUUCACCCUAUUUCCUCACCAGAAUACUGCCAGGCACUGAGCUCCAAAACUUCAGACACUGCAUGCCACUUUACAGAAUCCUGGUGGUAUUUGAAACCCUCUCCUUUCUUCCAGUCAGUGGUUUUGGGAAACAGAGUUCUUGUUCAGUCUCCUGUGAGUGUUUUCACUCUUUCUUUCUCUUUCUCUCCAGCUACUUUUGGGGGAGUGCUUUAUGAGAGACAGGAAAACUAGCUCCAUACGGGGAGGUUAGCUAUGGAUGGUUGUGUGGGGAGAGCAUAAGGUUGUCUUCUGGUUCCCUUCAGGAGGCCUGUGUAUUCAGUUUACCCAUUACUCUCAGGCAUUAUGUCAAGAGCCAAAAAACCUCCCACUGGCCCUGCUGGGGCAAGAACAAGGUGACUUCCUACUUCAAAAGGUGGAGUGAGACCAACCAGUCCUGCUAGGGCAUGUGGUGGAGACACAGCAGGAGCUUAAGGAGACUGAAACCAUUGAGUAAGGCCACUGAGCUGAGGAAGAGUAGAUACUGGGGAGAGGAAGCAGCCAUCAACAGCAGAGUUGGAAUGGCAACUCAGGGAUGUGACUAGGCCAGUCACACUUCAGUAAUGCAGACCCAACUUCUCUCCCCAAACCAUCAAGAACCUAGGUAAUGCUGCGUGGAUCAACAGACUCUUCCCUCUACCUACAAGGUCACACUAACCCUCUCCCCACAUACUCUGCAUCCUGAGCAGUGGUCCCCAAACUGAUCAUUACCUAAAAGGACUGCUUAUUUUAUCAGACUAAUUUAUAAGCCAGAUCAGACAUUGUUAUUUUUUUCUGACCACCUAAACAGUGAGAAUGCUUGAGGGAAUGUCUGGAGGAAUGCCUGAGGAAAAUCAGAGCAGUUUUAGACGAAAUUAACAUUUAUCUUGCCCUUGGGGCAAGGUACAUUCUACAAUGUACAUUGUGCAAUUAAGUACAUUCUACAAUGCCUCCCCUACACAUUUAGCCUGGGAACUUAAAUAACAUAAUUAAAAUGUGGGACAUAUAGUGUAAUUCUUAUUUAUUUGCUUCCCCUUUUAUGAGACCAGUACAUUUUUCCAUAAUCAAUGGUGAGAAGUAGGGACAGUCCUAGCCCCAGUUUUCAUUUUUUUAAGUUUAUCUAUUUAUUUUGAUAGAAAUAGAGACAGAGAGAGAGAGAGAGAGAGAGAGAGAGGAAGGGAGGGAGAGAAUCUCAAGCAGAGCUCACGCUGUCAGUGCAGAGCCUGACUCGGGGCUCCAUCUCAUGACCUUGAGUUCAUAAACUUAGCCAAAAUGAAGAGGCAGACGCUUAACUGGCUGAGCCACCCAGCCGCCUCCCCUGGUUUCAUUUUUAAUGUGGUCUUUUCCAUGAGGAACAGGCUUUUCUUCACAAAGCUUGGUAUGCAGCAGUACUCAAUGCAGGUGGAAUGAACAAACAAGACAUCUUUUAUUACAAUAAUGUGUUUAAAACAUGAUGGCUGCAGGCCUCUGCAGAUACCCUUGCACUUCCUCAAGUCUAGUUUCCAGUGUAUUAAGCUGAACAUCUUAAGUACAGCAUCUGCUUUUACUCUUUCUGAAGUUCUUUUUUAUUUCAUCUGUCUUUGUCUCUGCAUAUUUGCACUUUUGUGUUUUGCAUUUGGCUUCCGAAUGGGAGAUAUUUCUGUCUCUUCACAACAGUCUUUUUUGCAUUUACCUAGAGCUCUGCAUUAAUCUUUGCUAGGAUUGGUUUCCUUAAGGAUCACUAUUUCUGGGCUUUCAUUUUUGUGCUGCUGUUUGCAUUCUCCUUCUCUUGGAAGUCUUCUAUAGACAGCCCGUAUGACCACAGGUCCAUAAUGUCAGAGGUCUUAACCUUCUUUCUGGUUUUGCUGAUGUUGACCACAUGACCAUUUGCUGUACCUACAUGUGGGGGCCCUAUGAUGGUCACAACUUUGUGGUCUGUUAGUACACUUGGACCUCAGUAAUUCCCACUAUUUCUCUUUGGUUUCAGCCCUCUGGAAAGUACUGUAAUCUUCUUGCCAUAAUUUUGGGAAUGAAUAAUUUUGGGGCAGUGGGUGACUAUGAAAACUGUCUCUCUGGGAAUUACUUUUCUUUUCCUUAUUCUUAGUAUUCAUGCCUUCGUUUAGUUCUCUCCUCUACUGAGAAGGGCUGACCUGUGUAACCAGUAAGAUAUUGGAGAAAUGGAUAUGUAUGGCUUCCAAGCUAGGUUUAAAGGAUCUGUAGCUUUUACGUUGCUCAGUCUUCUGUUGCUUGCUCUAGGUGAAGCCAGCCAGUGUGUCAUAAAGACACCCAGGUAACACAGUACAUAGGAUUAUGUGGUGAGGAAUUGAGUCUCCUGCCAAUAGCCAGUACCAACCUGCCAAACAUGUGGAUUCCAGCCAUCUUGGAAGAUGGUCCCCGGCAAGUCUACAAACGGCACAGGCCCAGCUGUGACAUCUUGACGACAACAUCAGGAGAGACUGAGCCAGAACCACUUAGAUAAGUCCUGCUCAGAUUCCUGACCCGCAGAAAUUAUAAAAACCUUGUCUACUCUGGUCCUGUGAGAAACAUCCACAAGCCAGAGUUGAAUAUAUCUGAAUCUACAUUGGAUUACGUUGCACCAGAACCUUUGGGAAAAAAGGAAAUUAAAGGAGAGGGAGGGAGACAGAGAGAUGGAAAUGAAGUACACCAUUGCUCUACAUACUAUAGGUCUUUCGAAGUCAAGAAAAGAAACGUGAGUAAAGUAGCACCAGUAUGUCACGUGGCUUCUAAAUGCUUUCACCUUGUGCCCCUCAAAUUAGGGAACUAUGGAGUAAUUUGUCAACACUUCUCUAUACAAACUCAUUUAACAUGCCAGAACUCUCUCAGAAAAUAGAAGUAUAGGCUGAUUCCUAUCAUCUUUCCCACAAAGUCCUCCAUAUGUGACAGAAUUUCCUUUAUCUAUAUAUUUGACAUUAUUAACUAGUUUUGAAACCAGUGAAGUGUCUACCCCAUUUUUCAUUUCUCCUUGAUCAUUUCAAUCAGAUUCUGCAAGAGAAAUUUGUAAGCCCCUUUGCUGCUAUAUUUCCUAGGAAUGUGUGUAACUGAUGAAAAAAAAAGAAACA